AAGACCUUGCGCUUUUGGAGCGGCCGAUGUCUGAUUAGCUUGUUGGUGAGGUAAAGGCUUACCAAGGCUUCGAUCAGUAGCUGGUCUGAGAGGACGGCCAGCCACACUGGGACUGAGACACGGCCCAGACUCCUACGGGAGGCAGCGGUGGGGAAUUUUGGACAAUGGGGGCAACCCUGAUCCAGCCAUGCCGCGUGAGUGAAGAAGGCCUUCGGGUUGUAAAGCUCUUUCAGCCGGAACGAAACGGUUACGGUUAAUACCCGUGACUACUGACGGUACCGGAAGAAGAAGCACCGGCUAACUACGUGCCAGCAGCCGCGGUAAUACGUAGGGUGCAAGCGUUAAUCGGAAUUACUGGGCGUAAAGCGUGCGCAGGUGGUUUUGUAAGUCAGAUGUGAAAUCCCCGGGCUUAACCUGGGAACU
rnacentral:rRNA from 1 species